rnacentral:rRNA from 1 species
CAGUAGCCGCGGGAAUACGUAGGUGGCAAGCGUUGUCCGGAAUUAUUGGGCGUAAAGGGCUCGCAGGCGGUUUCUUAAGUCUGAUGUGAAAGCCCCCGGCUCAACCGGGGAGGGUCAUUGGAAACUGGGAAACUUGAGUGCAGAAGAGGAGAGUGGAACUCCACGUGUAACGGUGAAAUGCGUAGAGAUGUGGAGGAACACCAGUGGCGAAGGCGACUCUCUGGUCUGUAACUGACGCUGAGGAGCGAAAGCGUGGGGAGCGAACAGGAUUAGAUACCCCUGUAGUCCCUGUCUCUUAUAC